AAAUAAUAAUAUUUAAAGAAAGGAUAGGAAUUGGUUUUAAAACGAAUCGCCUCUUCCAUAGAAAAUACAAAAUCAGAGACGUUCAAACUUGAAGCAACCAUCCCCUCCACCGUUAGUCCGACGAUUCUUGCCAUUGUUUAUCUUUCUCCACUUCUGCAACAGCGAACAAGGGGACUCCUACCAUCAGAUAAGUGUUCUCCCCUCUUCUAAUCUUCUCUGCAGCAAGAAGAAGUACCAAACCUUUUUCUUUCCUCGAUGCAUGUUCAAAAAUACACCUAUCAUAAGCUUCACUCACGACUUUGAAUCUUUAAUAUAGGCACUAAUAAUAGAUAUGUCUUCAUGGUCUGCAUGCAGUUUUUUAUGAUCGAAAGGGUAUCACCUUCAAUCACCACGCUCCUGAUCCCCAGAUCCAGGCCCAUUUGCGCCGACUGGAGACAUGCAAGUGCUUCAGCCGCAAAAGGAGAAGGUUCACCCUGAACGAAAAAGAGGCCGGAAGGGGCACCACCGUUCGGCCAAAGUGCUAACUUGACUGGAAUCGCUGCACCUUCUUCGGGGGUUGAAUGACCGGUAUUGUUAUUUAUAUCGGUUUUGACAAAACCAGGGCAAACACAGUUGAUGCAGAAAUUUGGAUGCUUCUUGGCCAAAAUCCUUGUAUAGGCAUUCAUAGCUACUUUUGAGAUUGUAUAGGCAGAGAGAAAGCAUCCCUUAAUGCUUCUUUGCGCUGU